AGUACAGACGUAGUUUGAUCCUGGCUCAGAAUGAACGCUGGCGGCAGGCCUAAAACAUGCAAGUCGAACGCUGUAGCAAUACAGAGUGGCGCACGGGUGAGUAACAUGUGGGAAUAUGCCUAUUGGUACGGAACAACGUUUGGAAACGAACGCUAAUACCGUAUGGUCCCUUCGGGGUAAAGAUUUAUCGCCAAUAGAUUAGCCCGCACUAGAUUAGCUAGUUGGUGAGGUAAGAGCUCACCAAGGCGACGAUCUAUAGCUGGUCUGAGAGGACGAUCAGCCACACUGGGACUGAGACACGGCCCAGACUCCUACGGGAGGCAGCAGUUAGGAAUAUUGGACAAUGGGCGCAAGCCUGAUCCAGCCAUGCCGCGUGAGUGAUGAAGGCCUUCGGGUUGUAAAACUCUUUAGCCGAUGAAUAUAAUGACUGUAGUCGGAAAAUAAGCCCCGGCUAACUUCGUG
rnacentral:rRNA from 1 species